GACGGAGGAUGGAAGCGAUAUCCGGAAUCAUUGGGCGUAAAGCGUCUGUAGGUGGUGAUGCAAGUCACUGGUGCAAAACUCUGGCUCAACCGGAGGAAAGCCAGUGAAACUGCAUGACUAGAGUGUGGGAGAGGUACAAGGAAUUCCUUGAGUAGCGGUGAAAUGCUUAGAUACAGGGAAGAACACCUGAGGCGAAAGCGUUCUACUGGAACACAACUGUCACUGAGAGACGAAAGCUAGGGGAGCGAAUGGG
rnacentral:rRNA from 1 species